CCUCCCGCAAAACUUUCCUCUUCUGCUCCUCACUUUCCCCACUCCACCAGCCGGAACUCACGAGAGGACAGAGCACCGUCCCAGGCCAUCGUCGUCGGCGGCGGCGGCGGCGCGGCUGAGCUCCUCCCUCUCCCGACGGCGCAGAUUAGCGAGGUUUCAUCGAUCUGCGGGCUGAUUGAAGGUUUCUAAUUGUCUCGCCGUCUCGUUGAAACAAUGAAGGUGGGCAGCAUGGUGUUCACAGUUGCUCUUGUGUUCAUCGGGUGCCUACUCAUGGUUGGACAAUGUCGUCCUGAGCCCAAGAGCACCUAUGAAGAUGGCCAUAGCAACACGACUAUGGUGUUCCAGAGCAAACUUGCCUUGAAAUGGUGUGUCGCAAGGGAUUGUAAGACCAAGCAUGAACCGUCGCUAUUCGCCCCUCGAUGCUUUUGCUGUUUCAAUGCGCAGGGAACACCUUGCUUUAAAUCCAUAGGGGAUUGCCAGAAUCACUGCCCAACUCUUCCACCCGGAAAAUAAGGGUGUGCUUUACUAGAUUACAAUGUGAUUUUUCACAUUUGAAUGAGAGAAUGUGAUGAUACUUGCACACUGCAUGUUUUCACUAGUCUCUGUCGAUGCAAACUAAGUCACGGGCCAGUAUUUGAAUAUUAAGUUACCUUGAGAAUUAAACCUUUUGUCUGAUGAUUACGGGUGUUGUUUUACCUCAGGACCGCUUUGUCUGUGGCUUAUUAAAAGUGAAAUAUUCUCAUUUUCA